AUACGUAGGGGGCGAGCGUUGUCCGGAAUGAUUGGGCGUAAAGGGCGCGUAGGCGGCCCGGUAAGUCUGGAGUGAAAGUCCUGUUUUUAAGAUGGGAAUUGCUUUGGAUACUGUCGGGCUUGAGUGCAGGAGAGGUAAGUGGAAUUCCCAGUGUAGCGGUGAAAUGCGUAGAGAUUGGGAGGAACACCAGUGGCGAAGGCGACUUACUGGACUGUAACUGACGCUGAGGCGCGAAAGUGUGGGGAGCAAACAGGAUUAGAUACCCUGGUAGUCCACACUGUAAACGAUGAAUGCUGGGUGUAGGGGGUAUCGACCCCUUCUGUGCCGCAGUCAACACAAUAAGCAUUCCGCCUGGGGAGUACGGCCGCAAGGUUGAAACUCAAAGGAAUUGACGGGG
rnacentral:rRNA from 1 species